rnacentral:rRNA from 1 species
UNUGACUUGAGUGCAGAAGGGGAGAGUGGAAUUCCAUGUGUAGCGGUGAAAUGCGUAGAUAUAUGGAGGAACACCAGUGGCGAAAGCGGCUCUCUGGUCUGUCACUGACGCUGAGGCUCGAAAGCGUGGGUAGCGAACAGGAUUAGAUACCNUGGUAGUCCACGCCGUAAACGAUGAGUGCUAGGUGUUAGGCCCUUUCCGGGGCUUAGUGCCGGAGCUAACGCAAUAAGCACUCCGCCUGGGGAGUACGACCGCAAGGUUGAAACUCAAAGGAAUUGACGGGGGCCCGCACAAGCGGUGGAGCAUGUGGUUUAAUUCGAAGCAACGCGAAGAACCUUACCAGGUCUUGACAUCCCGAUGCUAUUCUUAGAGAUAGGAAGUUACUUCGGUACAUCGGAGACAGGUGGCGCAUGGUUGUCGUCAGCUCGUGUCGUGAGAUGUUGGGUUAAGUCCCGCAACGAGCGCAACCCUUAUUGUUAGUUGCCAUCAUUAAGUUGGGCACUCUAGCGAGACUGCCGGUAAUAAACCGGAGGAAGGUGGGGAUGACGUCAAAUCAUCAUGCCCCUUAUGACCUGGGCUACACACGUGCUACAAUGGUCGGUACAACGAGUUGCGAGCCGGUGACGGCAAGCUAAUCUCUGAAAGCCGAUCUCAGUUCGGAUUGGAGGCUGCAACUCGCCUCCAUGAAGUCGGAAUCGCUAGUAAUCGCGGAUCAGCACGCCGCGGUGAAUACGUUCCCGGGCCUUGUACACACCGCCCGUCACACCACGAGAGUUUGUAACACCCGAAGUCGGUGAGGUANCCUUUUAGGGGCCA